AAGGGUCGAGUGAUGAUUUAAUUGCAUAGUUCAGAUGACUAUUCUCUGAUUAGAAUGCAAAAAGUCUUUCGCUCCUAUCUGACGACUCUG